CUUCUUGUUUCCUUGGUGGGUUCGCCCACCAUUAGGACAAACAUAAACCUUUUGUAAUUGCAAUCAGCGUCAGUAACAAAUUAAUAAUUACAACUUUCAACAACGGAUCUCUUGGUUCUGGCAUCGAUGAAGAACGCAGCGAAAUGCGAUAAGUAGUGUGAAUUGCAGAAUUCAGUGAAUCAUCGAAUCUUUGAACGCACAUUGCGCUCUUUGGUAUUCCAAAGGGCAUGCCUGUUCGAGCGUCAUUUGUACCCUCAAGCUUUGCUUGGUGUUGGGCGUCUUGUCUCUAGCUUUGCUGGAGACUCGCCUUAAAGUAAUUGGCAGCCGGCCUACUGGUUUCGGAGCGCAGCACAAGUCGCACUCUCUAUCAGCAAAGGUCUAGCAUCCAUUAAGCCUUUUUUUCAACUUUUGACCUCGGAUCAGGUAGGGAUACCCGCUGAACUUAAGCAUAUCAAUAAGCGGAGGAACGC
rnacentral:rRNA from 1 species